AAUAGCCGACCCAAACCCGAUACC
rnacentral:siRNA from 1 species